GAUGAACGCUGGCGGCGUGCCUAAUACAUGCAAGUCGAGCGAACAGACGAGGAGCUUGCUCCUCUGACGUUAGCGGCGGACGGGUGAGUAACACGUGGAUAGCCUACCUAUAAGACUGGGAUAACUUCGGGAAACCGGAGCUAAUACCGGAUAAUAUAUUGAACCGCAUGGUUCAAUAGUGAAAGACGGUUUUGCUGUCACUUAUAGAUGGAUCCGCGCCGCAUUAGCUAGUUGGUAAGGUAACGGCUUACCAAGGCAACGAUGCGUAGCCGACCUGAGAGGGUGAUCGGCCACACUGGAACUGAGCCACGGACCAGACUCCUACGGGAGGCAGCAGUAGGGAAUCUUACGCAAUGGGCGAAAGCUUGACGGAGCAACGCCGCGUGAGUGAUGAAGGUCUUCGGAUCGUAAAACUCUGUUAUUAGGGAAGAACAAAUGUGUAAGUAACUAUGCACGUCUUGACGGUACCUAAUCAGAAAGCCACGGCUAACUACGUG
rnacentral:rRNA from 1 species